rnacentral:rRNA from 1 species
UACGUAGGGUGCGAGCGUUGUCCGGAUUUAUUGGGCGUAAAGGGCUCGUAGGCGGUCUGUCACGUCGGCUGUGAAAACCCGGGGCUCAACCCCGGGCCUGCAGUCGAUACGGGCAGGCUAGAGUUCGGCAGGGGAGACUGGAAUUCCUGGUGUAGCGGUGAAAUGCGCAGACAUCAGGAGGAACACCGGUGGCGAAGGCGGGUCUCUGGGCCGAUACUGACGCUGAGGAGCGAAAGCGUGGGGAGCGAACAGG